AAUGUUUGCAAAUAAAUUAUACUAAAUACGAUCACAGUCGUAGAAGUCAUAGAAGUUAAUAAUAUUAUCAUUAAAUAUAAUACAUUUUCACUAAACAGCGAUUAGCAGCGCAGGGGGAUUGGUUGAUGGGUCGGGUGAUGAAACUUUUGAGGAAGUGCUUGAAGAACGUGACGUAUACACAAAAGAUGGUCGGAAAAAAGGAAAAAUGGUUAUCGUUAAUAAAGUUACGGUACACAGGAGUGUGAAAACUGUUACUAGCCCUGAACUAAGUCCUAUGGUCAAACAUUCAAUAUCGUUUGAUCGAGAAAAUCCAAUGAGCAUAUCCUCGUCUAGAGAGAGUCUUUCAUCGCCAAAUACUUGGAGGAAGUUAUUCGUCGGUACCCGGUCACAAUUUGACUUGCACAUUGAAGAAAUAAAAAGUAAGCGAUAUAAAAUAUUAUGUUUAAAAAUCUAAACAGAUAAUUGUCUAAACGUAUUCUGUUAUGUAAUAUUAUAAAAAACGCAAUCAUUCAAUUUGUGUCAAUCAUUUUUUAGACUUUAUACACUUUCUAUUAAAAUGACGAUCUUGAAAUGUCAACUUUGAUAUAUAUAUCUUAUAUUGUUUUUUUUUUUAUAAAAUAAGAGUUUUAAAAAGUUUGCUUAAUUUUUCUAUGGCUUAAAAUGUUGAAUGAAACGAUAAUUUAUUGGAGGUUUUUUUUUUCGCGAAAGUAGGUAAACACCAUUAUAAUAAUAAAUUGAUACAUUUAUUACCAAUAACCAUUAUAUAUUUAGGGGACGACAUUCAGCACUGCGUUCAACAUUAAAUACUGAAUUAAGUACAUCAUUCUCCCCUCAUACAGCUAGUAUAAACCAUAUCUAUCCAUGCUAAUAUUUUUUAACCUUUGUGUAAAUUAAUACUAUCAUUAGUAUAUUCUCAGUAUUUUUUUAAACGAUAAGUGUAUUAAAUAUGUACUUUUAUUAACUAUGUAAAAUAUUAUAAUUUAUAAAUUAUUAUAUAUUGUACUCAUAAAUUAUAAAAUUAAAAAUGAAGUUUUUGACGUUACGGCCAAAACGCUGCGGACCUAAAAAAAAUAAAAAUCUAUUUGUGGGUCGUGGUUCGUGACCCAUAACUCGGGAACCGUUGAUUUAUGUUAUAUUUUUAAUAGCGUUAUCGUCAUUUACAAUAGAAAAAUCCCAUGUUUGCAUAGAUACCUAUAAUAUGUGUUUGUGUGUUUAUUUUUUAAUUAAUCAGCCAUAGCAAUAAUACGUCGUUACGUUUUAGAUUUUUUGUUUUCUUUGGAUAUGCAUUUGUUUCACGGUUGAUAUGAUGUAUAGAACUAUACACGCAGGAAUAUUAUGCAAACUCAAUAUUUGUAUAAUAUACACAUUUGGUCUUUAGCAUAGAAAGUUUUUUGACUUUUGAUGUUACCUACAGCGUGCCUAUGAUAUAAAACUUAGGUUCCUAUGUAUAGUUUUACACUUAUUAUUCACAAAUCAUAGGUAUACAAAUCUACAGCUUAUUUUUAUUUUGAUACGAUUGCUCUACAUAUUAGUAUUAUAUAAUCCUUAAAAAGAACAAAUAAAAACUAGAAUAUUUGGCUAUUUCCCAAAAAAUAAUUUUUUUUUUCAGAUUCAUUAAAUGAUGUUAUCAUAGUAGCACUGGUCUAUAAAUGUACAUGAUUUAUUUAUUCUGCACGCUUUUAACUAUACUAUAUUACCAGUUAAAGUUAAAAUUACUCGUUUAUGGAAAUUAAAAAUAUUGUACUACCUAUUCUUUAAUUUCGAGUCUCUCUUUCCGAUAAAUAAACUACCAUUGUAAUAAUGGUCCGUCCGUCCGUCGUAAAACAAGCGAUGUAACAGUUUAUUUCUAUAGAGGUUAAAAUUAAAAUAGCAUCGAAUAAGUCUAAUCAGUUUCAGUAGAUUUUAAGAAAGUAUAUUGUGCAUUUUACGUCUUAUUUAUAGCCGCUAAUAAAUCCCCGGAUGAAGUAGGCUAGUCAAAUUAUUCUACUAGUGCUUUCGGCCAAAAUAAAUAAAAUCGAUUAGAAAAAAAAUUUAUUCAAUAAUGGCAAAGUGUAAAUUAUUUUAAAAAUCAUUGUUGCCGUUAAAAAGGUAUUAAUUACAUUAUUUUUUCAAAAGAAACCCGCGUAAUAAUUAUUUUAAACAUAUUAGGUAUAUGUAUAGUUAUGUUUUAUUUUUAAAAUAACAUUUUGCAAUGUCAUUUAUGAAUUUAGCUAGUAUAUGUAUAUGAAUACAAUUUAGUUUUAUAUGACAAAAAUAAAUAUAUAUAUAUAUAUAUAUAUUAGAUUAUAUUUCAUUUUGGUACUGAUAUUUUUAAUAUAUAUAGUUUUACAAUUUUAUUAUAAUUAAGUUAUUAAAAUAUAAUAUUAUGAACCAUAGGUACCUACCUCAAUUCGUGGUACCUAUUAUCAAAUUAAUUAAAACUAUUUAAAACAGUUUUUUUUUUUUUUAUAAACGCAGUUUUCUAUAAACCUAAAAUUAUUUCAUUGUCUAAUUUUAUUUAACUAAAAGCUAUUACAAAGAUUUGAAGUCACGCGACGUGAAAACUGUGUUAUUUUACUUGUAAAAUUUACUUUAUAGUCCAUCCACUCAAUAAUAGGUACCUAUGGGUAAAAUAUACUCAAACUUUUGUCUAUAGUGUAAGUUACCUUGUAAUUAUAACGUAAUCAAAAAAAAGUUUUGUUAUCACGAUAUAUUUAUUGAAAAAUUAGGUUAGGUUAAGUUAAAACGAUCAAACCUAACAGUAUAAUAUUUUUAGACAGGCAUAUAAUAAAGGUCUGGUCCUUAUUAUCAGACAUUUGUAUUUGUAAAUUACACGUCAGAAAAUUUUAAAACUAUAAAUAUUAUACAAAUCAAAUACAACAAUUACAUUUAAAGCAGUUUAUUAUCAUUAAUUAUUUGCUCAUUUUACGAGCGGGAAUCCAAAAUUUAAUACAAUAUUUGAUACUUACAUAAUAUUAUUAAUUUAAGUAUAAGUAUUAAGUAUAAAUUCAUAUUAGCCAGUAUUAAAAAAAUAGGUAUUAGGUAUAGUUACCAAAACAUACAGUACAUACUUAUAAGAACGCUCUGUCAAUUUUUGACAUAUAACGAUUUUUAAAUUAUUUAGGUUUUUAUACAAAUACAUCUACUUACGCAUAAUAUACUAAAUUAUCAAAUUCUUUCAAAAUUAUGUAUAGAAAUAUAGUUUAUUGCUUUAAAUAUGAUUAGAAACCGAGAACUAUGCACGCUCGCAGAAAAAUCGCGUUCCAAAGUUCUAUGUUUCCAUAGUAACAAAUAAUACAAAAUUGUUAAGUACAACAUAAACUAUAUAAUAAAUGAUACAAAUGUCAUAUAAUGAAACUAUGUGAUAAAAUAUAUUGUUUUAUAUUAUUAUGUAUAAUAUAUAAAUCACUAUAGUUGCAGAAAGGGAGCAUGUUCAAUUUCUGGAGAAAUUGAGUUUAUUACCUGGUUUGUAUAUACCUACCUUGAAUACAUAAUUUUGUAAAAAUAUAACUAGUUCAUUAAACCGUUAUGAAUAUCUCAAUACAUUACUGUGAUAACGUGGUUUUUAUAUAGAGUAACUCUAUGGGUUUUUGAUUAGAUCUUAUCAUUAUCAACCUGCAAUAGUUUUUCAUCCCGUUAUUGAUUUAAUCUACUUCUGAGUCUGUUGUAAAAAUAAUAUUCAAUCUUUUUUAUUUUAAAAUACUUUUGAAUUAUAAAAAAAAAAAAAAAAUAUUUUGUCAAUCAAGCUACCCAAGAAGGAGCUAUACACACAAAAUAUCCCCACAAUAAAUUAAAAAAUGAAUUAUUUGGAAUGUCUGAAUCCCUACAUUCUAAAAGAUUCUGUUUCCAGAUUUUGGGAAACAAUUUACGAGUAGCCAACUCGUUCGCAACUUAAAUAAUAAACUUUAAUAUUAAAUAAUUAACUAAAUAAUAAUUAUCUAAAAUGGCAGCAAAUGGUGCGUUGAUGUUAAUUUUUAAAAAUAUCGAGUUGAUUUAUUUUUAAAAAGGUUUGUAAAAAUUCUAGCCUAGACAGGUUUUUAUGCCAUUCUGGAAAAUUCAGUUUUAAGAAUAGGUAUGUUCCCUUUCUGAAAUUAGUGAUUCAUAUAUUCUCUUACAAUGCUAUACAGAAGAGGAGGUUGUGCAUAACGUUGAAAUGAGGGAAGACAAAUUGAGAAAUUGAAGCAUAUUUAAUAUGAUUAAAUCGUCUAUUAAACCCAAACACAUAUCCAUGAUUCUAUAUUUGUCCGAACAAUGGGUAAUGUUUUUUUUUGUUUUCAUAGAAAUUGUUUUACAGCAAUUCACCAUUCUUCGAUGUUACUUACUUUUUUAUUAAUUUCUUUAUAUGAAAUAAAUAUAUUUUGAUAUAUCCAUCACAUGUCCAACCCAUUUGUUUUUUUUUUCUUAAUUCUUUUCAUAAAAUUGUCCAUAAAACUCUUCCCAUAAAUGAGUCGUUGAUAUAUUGAUAACUUAAUUUGUGAUGGCUUACAGGUGUCCUACAAUGUUAUUAUUAUGCUAAUAAUUCUGUCAAUAUUCAUUUUUUUUUUCAUACGGGUUUUGUUCGAGAAGGGUAAAUGUAGAGAAAAAUUAAAUUUUUAUUUUCAUCUCUUUUAAAAUAGUCAUAUUAUAAAAGAUAAUUUUCUUCAAAUUUAAAUAUAACAUAUAUUCAUAUCCGAUCAAUAUUUUCUUUGUAGUAGCUGUUUUGAUUUUAGAAAAUAGAUGUGAAAACAAUUAAUAUGCAAAAAAAAAAAAUGAAUAUGUAUAGAGUUAUUAGUAUUAGAAUAAUACUGUAUGACACUCUGUAUAAUCUACGUCAUUAGCAGGGGAAGGGGUGCCUUUCAAAAUGCAUCUAAGUGACACACUGAUGACAAUCUUAUAAUUAUAAAUCAAGGUAAUUCAGGUACAAUCUUAGGUAUUUAGUUAUUCACAUUGAUAAAGAUCAAUGUGUAAAAUAAAAUAAUAUUAUUAAUUGUUUUUAAUACCUAUUCAAUUAAUUUACUUACGCAUUUACAUAGCACAUCGCAUAUCUACAAAUUUACAAUUGUGUUUUUAAUUAACCUACUUCUAAAAUUAUUAAAUGAUAUAAAUGCACGUAAUUUUUUUAAGAUUUAAUUUUAACACAAUCAUUGAAAAGAUUUAAACUCCAAUUUAUGUUAUUAUGUAUUAUAUUAAAUCUAUAUUAUUAUAUUUAUUAGCCAUUGUUAUAUUAUAAAAUAAAUAUUCGUUAUUAUAUGGCAGUGCCAAAUGGUCGACCGCGAUCGAUCAGUAGAUCGCAGAUGAUUUAAAUGUCGAUCUCCACUUUGUUAGAAUUUAUUUUUAUGUAAUUUGUAGGUAAAUAAUAAUAAUUGCUGAUCUUUUUUAUAUUAAUAUAUUAUCUUUAUUUUGGUGUAAAUUUAUCAAAUAAUACUUAUAAUUCAACAGAGUUUAUUCUGGCGAUUGUAUUUACAGUAAUAUUACCUAUAUUAAUGUUAAUACUAGUCCGAUGAAAAACAUUAUAUAACUAUAAAUUUUAGUUUUAUUAUUUUGUAUAUGCAUGUUUAUUAUUAAUACCUAUUAGAUAAUUUAUAAUCAUACAUUUUUGUUAGGAAGUCGAUCCUCAAAAGAAAAAUACAUUUUUAGUAGAUCUUUACCAAAAAAAAGUUUGGCCACCCCUGUUAUACGGCAUACGCUAUGGUAAAAAUAUAAUAUAAUAAUAAUUAAUUAUAAGUACCUAUUACUCACCUGAAUUUUUUUGUUGGUACCUAAUAUUACAAAGAUAGUUCUAGAUAAAAAUAAAUAAAAGUAGGUACAAAGUUAAAAUAUAUUAAAUAUUAAAUCAUAAAUAUAGGUAUAAGUAAAAAUGUGUAUAAAACAUGCAUUUAAAUGUAUUUUUAAUCUUAUAAAAUUGUACGUGAAUAUAAUUAUAUAUUAUUUACACCUACGUCAAAAAACCGUGUUGAAAAAUAUAUAAAUUUGAUUGGCUUUUUAAUGUUUUUAUACAUACAAUGCAAAAUAUAACUAAUAUUUGUCCUUAGAAUUUAAUACUCUGUGAAAAUCGAUCAAUUCAUUGAAUAAAUAAACGAUAAAACUAGAAUUAAUUACCUAUUAAUAAUGGCAGCUUAACAAAUUAUGUUGUAUUGUUUAUAUUUUGAACAAGUUUUAUUAUUUACAAUAUGCAUCAAGCUUGAAUGUACGUUGUUUAAGAUUUUAUGUUUUUUUUUAUUUUCGUAUUAUUUGUUUCUAAAGACUAAAAUUAUCUGUUUGUUUAUAGCUAGCAAUCUAUAACAACUUUUCUAUCAGAACUAUUUCUCCUUCUUAUCAUCAACUUUAAGGGUGGUCAUUUUCUUUAUAGUUAUUUUAAUAUGUAGUUGAGAAAAUCCAGGAAAAACGUUAAAAAAAUUAAACAAUUUAUGCAAUAAUGUUUUCUGUUAUUCGAUCUACUGAUAGCCAUUUGAAAAUAUCGAGUUUUUUUUAGUUUUAUGUGGAUAAAAUUGUUUAAGUCCAGUAAAAAUACUAAUAAAUACAACACAAGGUGGGCCAUAAGUAGUACGUGUUAAUAAAUAUUGUUUUAAACUAUUAUUAUUAUUAUUUUUUUUUUUUUAAAAAACCUUCAAGUUUGUAUGAAAACUGUAAAAACCGCGGCAUUUAAAAAUAAUGUUUAGCUGAAAUUUGCUCAGAAUCGUAUUUUUUAUUUAUCGUUGCUUACAAAUUUAAAUUAAAUUACUCUAUAAUAUAUCUCAACUUCCCAACUUGUGUUUUGCUUUUUUUUUGAGUUGUAAAAAAUGAAACUGUAGUGCGGUAUUCCUAAGCCGUUUAAUAAUAGUAUCGAUUAAACAUUAUGUCCCUUAUUGCAUUAUUAUUAUGUCAGUUUGUAUAUACCAGCACGGUGACAACCUAAAAUAAAAACGAGUGAUCUAUUAUCCUAUAUAUAAUUUAUGUUUUUGGAGCAAUAUUAUAAAUUGCAAUUGUACACGGAAUCUUUGAGUUUACUAUUAUUUUAAAAAAAAUAAAAUAAAACAGCCCUAAGGCGCAUGUAAGUAACUAAUAUAGUGUUGGUAUGUUUCAUAUUGUAGACGAACAAGAGAGAGUGCAGAAGAAGACUUUUGUUAACUGGAUAAACUCGUAUUUGUGUCAAGUAACGUAUUUUUACUAAAUAUCGUAAAUAUUAUUAGGUAUAUUACCUAGUUUAUCAUAUUGUGUUUAUUGUGUUAUCGUAGAGAAUACCGCCACUAAAAAUAGAAGACUUGAUUGAAGAUCUUAAAGAUGGUACUAGGCUUCUUGCAUUACUGGAAGUUUUAUCAGGAGAAAAUUUGGUAACUAAUUAUAGUUUAUAAUUGUAAUGUAUCUUUUAAAAUACCUGUGCCUAAUUUAAAGAUUCAUAUGAUACAUACCUAUUAUAUUUUAAGGCUAUUGAACGCGGUCGUAACAUGAGGAGACCUCAUUUUUUGAGUAAUGUUAAUACUGCAAUACAAUUUUUACAAAGCAAACGGGUAAGUUAUAAUUUUAUGAUUGGGUACUAAACUAUUUUAAUAUGUACGAAAUAUGAUGUUUAUUUAUGUAUUCUAUAUUUUUAAUUUAGAUCAAAUUAGUAAAUAUAAAUUCUGCCGAUAUCGUGGAUGGACGACCUCCUAUUGUUUUAGGGCUCAUCUGGACUAUAAUUUUAUAUUUUCA
rnacentral:lncRNA from 1 species